rnacentral:rRNA from 1 species
GAUGAACGCUAGCGGCAGGCUUAAUACAUGCAAGUCGAGGGGCAGCAUGACUGUAGCAAUACAGUUGAUGGCGACCGGCAAACGGGUGCGGAACACGUACAGAACCUUCCUUCGAGCGGGGAAUAGCCCAGAGAAAUUUGGAUUAAUACCCCAUAGUACAACGGAGUGGCAUCACUUUGUUGUUAAAGAUUUAUCACUUGAAGAUGGCUGUGCGGCUGAUUAGGUAGUUGGCGGGGUAACGGCCCACCAAGCCUGCGAUCAGUAACUGGUGUGAGAGCACGACCAGUCACACGGGCACUGAGACACGGGCCCGACUCCUACGGGAGGCAG